rnacentral:rRNA from 1 species
AAAUUGAAGAGUUUGAUCAUGGCUCAGAUUGAACGCUGGCGGCAGGCCUAACACAUGCAAGUCGAACGGUAACAGGAAGCAGCUUGCUGCUUUGCUGACGAGUGGCGGACGGGUGAGUAAUGUCUGGGAAACUGCCUGAUGGAGGGGGAUAACUACUGGAAACGGUAGCUAAUACCGCAUAAUGUCGCAAGACCAAAGAGGGGGACCUUCGGGCCUCUUGCCAUCGGAUGUGCCCAGAUGGGAUUAGCUAGUAGGUGGGGUAAAGGCUCACCUAGGCGACGAUCCCUAGCUGGUCUGAGAGGAUGA